rnacentral:lncRNA from 1 species
UUUCACUACAUAAAACUUUUCUUCCAAUAUGUAUCAGGUGAGCACCUCCUCUUUCUUUGACUAUUUUUUCACAUUUCCUUUCUAUGGAGAAUACACUUUAGACCUCCAAUCAGGCCCUUCACCAUCAUAGAAAUCUGUAACUUCAUGCUUUUCUGUCUUUUAACAAUAGUGAUAGCUGUAAUUCUGUAUCUAUCAUAUGAUUAUUUGAUAGGCUUACCAAGCAUACCAUGUUGAAUUGGUACUGAGGGAGUUCCUGGGAGGUAGACUUUCCUUCUAAAACAGGGACAGUCCCAGAAGAACAGGAAGAGUUAUUUUUCCUAUUAUUUAAUUAAUAUCAACAUCUGCUUUGACUUUUGUUUUCUAAGCUUCAUAAGUACACAUAACAUAUUGUUAGAGUUGACCAAUGACUUGUUUGUUUUACUUAUAGUAGAAACUCAAUAAAUAUUUUUUUAAAAACUGUCUUAGAGAAGGCCGAGCAAGAUGGCUGAAUAGAAACCCCCAGCUAUUUUUACCCCAACAAGAACAACAAAUUGAACAACUCUCCACACAAAAAGCACCCUCAUAAAAACCAAACAUCUGGUGAGCAAUCACAGCACCUGGUUUUAACAUCAUAUUAAGAAAAAAGGCACUGAAAAUUGUAGGAAAGACAGACCUGAAUCACCUAGAUUUGGUCUAUCAUAUAAACCAAAUGGAUCUGAUAGUUAUUUACAGAACAUUUUAUCCAACAGCUGCAGAAUACACAUUCUUCCUCCUCUGCACAUGAAUCAUACUCAAGGAUAGACCAUUUGUUAGGUUACAAAACAAGUCUUAACAAUUCAAAAAAAAUUGAAAGUGUAUGAAGUGUCUUCUCUGACCACAAUGGAAUAAAACAAGAAAUCAAUAACAAGAGGAAUUUGGAAAACUAUAGAAACACAUGUAAAUUAAACAAUAUAUCCCUAAAUAACCAGUGGAUCAAUAAAGAAAUUAAGAGGUAAAUUAAAAAAUUUCUUGAAACAAAAAAAAAAAUGGAAACAAAACAUAACAAAAUGUAUGGGAUACAGCAAAAGCAGUAACAAGAGGAAACCUUAUAGCAAUGAACACCUACAUCAAAAAAAAAAGCAGAAAAACUUCAAAUAAAAACCUAACAAUGCAUCUUAAAGAACUAGAAAAGCAAGAAAAACCAAACCCAGAAUUAAUAGAAGAAAAGAAAUAAAAAAGAUCAGAGCAGAAAUAAGUGAAAUUGGAGUGAAAAAAAUACUAAAGAUCAAUGAAAUGAAAAGCUGUUUUUGAUAGGAUAAAUAAAGUCAACAAACAACAAACAUUUAGCCUAACUAAAAGAAAGAAAGAAAGAAAGAAAAGAAAGAAAGAAAGAAAGAAAGAGAGAAAGAAAACCCAAAUAAAUAAAAUCAAAGAUGAAAAUUAAGGCCUCAAAACCAAUUCUGUGGAAACACAAAGAAUCAUUAGGGGCUACUAUGAGCAACUAUAUGCCAAUAAAUUUGAAAAUCUAGAAGAAAUGGAUAAAUUUCUGGAAAUACACAACCUAUCAAGAUUGAAACAUGAAGAAAUACAAAACCCAAACCAAUCAAUAACAAAUAAUGAUAUCGAAGCCAUUAUAAAAAAUCUCCCCUCAAAGAAAAGCCAGGGACCUGAUAGCUUUACUGUUGAAUUUUACCAAACAUUAAAAGAACAAAUACCAAUCCUACUCAAACUGUUCAAAAGAGACAGAGAGAGAGAGAGAGAGAGAGGGAGAGAAAGAGAGAGAGAGAGAGAG